AUUGAACGCUGGCGGAAUGCUUUACACAUGCAAGUCGAACGGCAGCACGGACUUCGGUCUGGUGGCGAGUGGCGAACGGGUGAGUAAUGUAUCGGAACGUGCCCAGUCGUGGGGGAUGACGUAGGGAAAAUUACGCUAAUACCGCAUACGAUCUAUGGAUGAAAGCGGGGGAUCGCAAGACCUCGCGCGAUUAGAGCGGCCGAUAUCAGAUUAGGUAGUUGGCGGGGUAAAGGCCCACCAAGCCAACGAUCUGUAGCUGGUCUGAGAGGACGACCAGCCACACUGGAACUGAGACACGGUCCAGACUCCUACGGGAGGCAGCAGUGGGGAAUUUUGGACAAUGGGCGAAAGCCUGAUCCAGCCAUUCCGCGUGCAGGAUGAAGGCCCUCGGGUUGUAAACUGCUUUUGUACAGAACGAAAAGGUUUCUACUAAUACUAGGAGCUCAUGACGGUACUGUAAGAAUAAGCACCGGCUAACUACGUGCCAGCCGCCGCCGUAA
rnacentral:rRNA from 1 species